rnacentral:rRNA from 1 species
GACGAACGCUGGCGGCGUGCCUAAUACAUGCAAGUCGAGCGAAUCGACGGGAGCUUGCUCCCUGAGAUUAGCGGCGGACGGGUGAGUAACACGUGGGCAACCUGCCUAUAAGACUGGGAUAACUUCGGGAAACCGGAGCUAAUACCGGAUACGUUCUUUUCUCGCAUGAGAGAAGAUGGAAAGACGGUUUACGCUGUCACUUAUAGAUGGGCCCGCGGCGCAUUAGCUAGUUGGUGAGGUAAUGGCUCACCAAGGCGACGAUGCGUAGCCGACCUGAGAGGGUGAUCGGCCACACUGGGACUGAGACACGGCCCAGACUCCUACGGGAGGCAGCAGUAGGGAAUCUUCCGCAAUGGACGAAAGUCUGACGGAGCAACGCCGCGUGAACGAAGAAGGCCUUCGGGUCGUAAAGUUCUGUUGUUAGGGAAGCACAAGUACCAGAGUAACUGCUGGUACCUUGACGGUACCUAACCAGAAAGCCACGGCUAACUACGUGCCAGCAGCCGCGGUAACAC